rnacentral:lncRNA from 1 species
GAUGAAAUGGGGUGCCCAGCUGGCGAACAUACUUUGAUUCUCUUCCUGCAUCAAAAACCAUGCGCAUUAGGAGUGGACUGUUUUUUUUUUCGUUCCUCCUAUCGGGAUCUGAGGCAGGCAGGGAGUAUGCUUGCUGUUUGGUUGGUUUUUGGGGACACGAAUAUGUCAAAAUAUUGGUUCUUAGCUUGGUGAAAGUGUUCGGUUGUUGGUAUAACAUGACUCUUCUUUAGUCAAAUUUUGCUAUGCUUGUGGUAGUUCUAUGAACCCCGCGACAAAAAUAUAUACUUAAAAAAUAAUAG